CCAGGUAGAUGUGAAGCUUGGCAGUGCUUGGACACAGACUCAACCAUACGGAGAAUAUCAGCCUGUAGCAGGUAAACAAGAGCCCAGCACAGAAGAAAAGGCAGAGCUACAAGAAGACAGUGCCACAUUAUUUUCAUUGGAAUCUAUGUACCCAUCUAUGCCUGAGCCAGAAGAGGUGAAGCAAAGUUGCUGACUUCAGCCUCAAGCCGAUAAGGAGGAAAAGAGCUUGGUAGUUGAAAGAUGCUCAAUGACCGUAGGAAGAAGAUACUGGAUUUUCAAAAUAAUAUUUGAUGAAAGCAAUUGCCAUGCAGUGAUGAGAACAGGUUUGGAAGGCUCAAGACCUGGUGUGACAUCCUGACUCCAAUUGGUUCAUACGAGGAGACAAGGAGAAGAUGUCCAUCUGGAAACCUUCAGGAAGUGGAUCUUAACCAGACACCAGAUCUGCUGGUACUUUGCUCUGGACUUCUCAGUCUCCAGAACUGUGAGAAAUGUGUCUGUUGUUUAAGCCACUCAAUCAAUAGCAUUUUGUCAUAGCAUCCUAAACUGUCUAGUGGAGUUUGUAUUGUUUCAGCCUAAAGCCCUGAAUGAUGUGAAUGGUUAACCAUUUAUAAACCACUGAAGGUGACUCAGCACAUUAUCUUGUACAUGGUGG